GUUCCCCCCUCUCUCUUCUCUGUUCUUCCUCACAGGCUGCACGAAAGGCCUCUAACAUUUUCUCUCUCUUUUACAAAUUUCUCCCCCUCCCAUGAGCGAGCCCGCCGGUCCCGAGCUCAGAUCCGCCGCUUCCGGCACGUCGCCUCCGCCUCCGCCGUCGCCUCCAGGAGCCACUCCCUCAAGCCGUGAGCCCGCCGGUCGCAUCCCGAGCUCAGAUCCGCGCCUCCACCACGUCACCUCCAGUAUCCAGCCCGCCGGUCGCAGCUGCUGUGAGUGUUAGAAACCCAAAGGUCACGGUAGGAGGAUUGAAUUCAAAAGUUCACUCGAGAAAGAUCUCGUUCCAAGAGAAUUCGUGCAGCAAAAGUCUAGUCAAUUUGCUAAAAUCUAAGCAAGAAUUUCAAUACGGUGGGUAUCCCCAUGGAGAAUUUCAACUCGUGAAGAAAUGACACCGUCAGCAAAUGCAUUGACAUAGUUUGUGACUGGGAGAUUUGUUCGUGUAUUUUAGAGCCGAAUGCAGAACUCAGAAUUCAGUUCGCUUGCCUGUAUUCAUAAUAAUGACAUUGAACUCAUAGGAUGUUGCCCAAUUGCUCAGGAAAGUUUUUGUUCUAUCUGUUAACAGUUUAAUUUUGGCGCCUUCAACAUUGCUCUCGCUACUGAGAGUGUGCAUCCAAAGCUUGGUUGCCUGAAAAGCUGUGUAAAAGAUUUUCACCAUAUCCGGAUGACAAUCAUAGUCAGAAAACAGAAGUUCGAGAGAACAAUGCCACUUUUAACUAAUUGAUGUUAUGAUCUACUGUUGAUUCUACAAAUUAACCAUAACCUGCA